GAUGAACGCUGGCGGCGUGCCUAAUACAUGCAAGUCGAGCGAACAGACGAGGAUCUUGCUCCUCUGACGUUAGCCGCGGACGGGUGAGUAACACGUGGAUAACCUACUUAUAAUACUGGGAUAACUACGGGAAACCGGAUCAAAUCCCGGAUAAUAUAUUGAACCGCAUGGGUCAAUAGUGAAAGACGGUUUUGCUGUCUCUUAUCGCUGGUUCCGCGCUGCAUUAGCUAGUUGGUGAGGUAACGGCUUAUCAAGGCGACGAGGCGUUGACGGACUGAGAGGUGGAUAGGCCACACUGGAACUGAGACGCGCACCAGACUCCUGCGGGAGGCAGCAGUAUGGAAUGUUCCGCAGUGGGCGAAAAUAUGGCGGAGCGGCCGCGCGUGGGUGAUGGCGGUCUUGGGAUCGUAAAGACCUGUUAUUAGGGAAGAACAAAUGUGUAAGUAACUAUGCCCGUCUUGACGGUACCUAAUCAGGAAGCAACGGCUAACUACGUG
rnacentral:rRNA from 1 species